rnacentral:rRNA from 1 species
UACGAAGGUGGCAAGCGUUGUUCGGAUUUACUGGGCGUAAAGGGCGCGUAGGCGGCCACCGCAAGUCGACUGUGAAAUCUCCGGGCUUAACCCGGAAAGGUCAGCCGAUACUGCGGGGCUAGAGUGCAGAAGGGGCAACUGGAAUUCUCGGUGUAGCGGUGAAAUGCGUAGAUAUCGAGAGGAACACCUGCGGCGAAGGCGGGUUGCUGGGCUGACACUGACGCUGAGGCGCGAAAGCUAGGGGAGCGAACGGG